AUUGAACGCUGGCGGCAGGCCUAACACAUGCAAGUCGAGCGGAUGAAGGGAGCUUGCUCCUGGAUUCAGCGGCGGACGGGUGAGUAAUGCCUAGGAAUCUGCCUGGUAGUGGGGGAUAACGUCCGGAAACGGGCGCUAAUACCGCAUACGUCCUGAGGGAGAAAGUGGGGGAUCUUCGGACCUCACGCUAUCAGAUGAGCCUAGGUGGGAUUAGCUAGUUGGUGGGGUAAAGGCCUACCAAGGCGACCAUCCGGAACUGGUCUGAGAGGAUGAUCAGUCACACUGGAACUGAGACACGGUCCAGACUCCUACGGGAGGCAGCAGUGGGGAAUAUUGGACAAUGGGCGGAAGCCUGAUCCAGCCAUGCCGCGUGUGUGAAGAAGGUCUUCGGAUUGUAAAGCACUUUAAGUUGGGAGGAAGGGCAGUAAGUUAAUACCUUGCUGUUUUGACGUUACCAACAGAAUAAGCACCGGCUAACUUCGUG
rnacentral:rRNA from 1 species